rfam:Stegodyphus mimosarum contig42893, whole genome shotgun sequence.
GCCUUCGUGGUGUAACGGUAGCACACUUGGAGCGUAUUCAAAAGGUCCAGGUUCGAGUCCCGGCGAGGGCA